UUCCUAAUAAGGUCUAUUUACUGGGUGCUCAAAAAGUUCCCGACUUUCUUUUUCAAAAUAUUCAAUGGUAUUAUUGAAUGAACUUAUUUAAUAAACUUAGUGUGAAUUUGAAUUUCUGUUUAGUUUACGGUUGGAUUUUAUUACAUGAUCAGCCUGCGAAAGUCUUUUCUAAACGAACUAUAUUCCAGGCGGAAAGUGUCGUCACUGUUUACCCUGCGAGGACUGCAAAGGCUAGUGUGGGACGAUACACAACGCAUAUGUAUUAUACCCGGUUUCCGUCAAAAUUGUUGAAUCUAUCGCUUUAUAUAUUGUUUUUGUUUUGUUUUCGUUUAUCAAAGAGCGAUUUCAUUAACGUUA